AAGCGUGUCCAGGGUGCCAGGGCCACACAAAGGCAGGAAUUAACUAUUCUCCUUAGAGGGUCAGGACAAACUUUCCGGAAGAGAGGCUUGAAAUAGAAGAGUCUAAGAACAUGGGCCCUGUGUGACAAGAGGGUUCAGUGUCACAGCCUGAGCUGGGCUCGGAAAACUGCUCCCCACCCGGCCUUCAGGAGACACCAGCAAGGGCACAACCUCGACACCUACAUUUCCCCAAGGACUGGCUUGACCUCAGUGAGGAGAGGCCAGUCACGCCCACACUCUGACAGCCCCAAGGAUGAAGGAGGUCCUGGACUGCUGCUGCUCUCCCAAGAGUCACACUUUCAGUGGCAAGACCGUGUCUAGACUGUUGAGGAUCUGAAGGAAGAGGAUACAGCGGAGAUUUGUAGGGAAGCUCAUAUUCGCAGUCCAGGAAGACGUUCCUGCUUCCUCCCCCUGCAGGUGGGAGCUGGGAGGCUGACCAGCGGGUAGACCUGAAGUGCUUCAACACGGAAGCCUUCUUCAGGACCCUGCUCAGGCUGUCUCUGUCGGUGACUACCAAACACAGCCAGGCCAAGGAGGGGUAACUCUGGACAGUGCUUCCACCCAAGGCUGGAGAGACAAGUGGGGCUAGAAAUAGAGGCAUCUCCGAGAGAAUUGUUAUGGUACAUGGAGCUAGAGAAAUGCUUGGUCUGUA